GUGUGAUGAGAAAUUUGAUAUUAAAAGAAUACUAUUCAGAUACCUAAACUGUUUUAAAAUGUUCAGAAAGUUUUUUAUUUUUUUUUCAGUUAUUUAAAUUUUAAAAUUUAUAAUCAUAAUCAUCGCAUUUUUACACUUUUGAAGUUACAUUUUUUUAUUUUUACUAUUAGUAAUAAUUUUUUAAAAUAAUUAUAUGUUUGGUGAAUAUAAUUAAUUUUUGAUAAGUUUUU
rnacentral:lncRNA from 1 species